UACGUAGGGGGCAAGCGUUGUCCGGAUUCAUUGGGCGUAAAGAGCUCGUAGGCGGUUCGGCAAGUCGGGUGUGAAAACUCCAGGCUCAACCUGGAGACGCCACCCGAUACUGCUGUGACUUGAGUCCGGUAGGGGACCACGGAAUUCCUGGUGUAGCGGUGAAAUGCGCAGAUAUCAGGAGGAACACCCGUGGCGAAGGCGGCUCUCUGGGACGGUACUGACGCUGAGACGCGAAAGCGUGGGGAGCGAACAGG
rnacentral:rRNA from 1 species